GCAAGCUCCUGUGCACGCUUUACUGCUUCAUAUUUUUGAGCUGUGAGCCCCUUAAGAUGAGGCAAACCACUGGACGGUGGAAUGGAUGCACUUGGUGCUGAACCAGGAGUUAGCAAUACCCCUGCAUCUGAAGAUGCAACUGGAGUAGGAAAAAUCCCUGCAUUAGCCGAAGGUUGAAGGCUCUCCUUGGGUCCCACCUGUGGAAGUCCCUCUCUAGUAAAGUUGGGACCCUUGUUCUUGUUUAAUGCAGGUAUCUUCUUGGCCUUUUGAGUCCACUCCUUUUGCAUUUGUA
rnacentral:misc_RNA from 1 species